AGCGAACGCUGGCGGCAGGCCUAACACAUGCAAGUCGAACGAACUCUUCGGAGUUAGUGGCGGACGGGUGAGCAACACGUGGGAACGUGCCUUUAGGUUCGGAAUAACUCAGGGAAACUUGUGCUAAUACCGAAUGUGCCCUUCGGGGGAAAGAUUUAUCGCCUUUAGAGCGGCCCGCGUCAGAUUAGCUAGUUGGUGAGGUAAAGGCUCACCAAGGCGACGAUCAGUAGCUGGUCUGAGAGGAUGAUCAGCCACAUUGGGACUGAGACACGGCCCAAACUCCUACGGGAGGCAGCAGUGGGGAAUCUUGCGCAAUGGGCGAAAGCCUGACGCAGCCAUGCCGCGUGAAUGAUGAAGGUCUUAGGAUUGUAAAAUUCUUUCACCGGGGACGAUAAUGACGGUACCCGGAGAAGAAGCCCCGGCUAACUUCGUGCCAGCAGCCGCCGUAA
rnacentral:rRNA from 1 species